CUCUAUUUCUAAAAGCUCAUCACAUUAUUCACUGAGAAAUAUAAAUAAAUAUGAAAGGGACAGGCCCCUUCUGUCAGAACGGUGAUAUGAGUUGUUGGUAAAGGUGUGGGCUUUUGUCACAUCUCUCUUCUGAAAGGUUAUUGAAAGUGUGGGGCCAUCAAUCAGAAAGGUAAAGAUUAUUUCAGCAAUUGCUGCACAGACGGUUUGCAGCCACCUCAUCUUCUGGCAAAGAACUGUGCUCCAUUUAUGAAAUUCAUUUCAUGUGUGUGUUAAGCACAAAGGAUGUAUACUACUUAAAUUCCACCAUCCGUGAUGUAUAUUAGGGCUUGUCUCAGCAUGUUGCAUAAAAGUUAUCAGACCGAAAAGCUGGUGUCACGGUGCUCCAACAUUGUAGCAAUGGAGGAAGAUUUGGUGCUGGCAACUAUUCUUACAACAUACAGAACAGAGCAUGAAGGUGAGGAAACAUGUUGUAUUUGAUCAAACCUUUAAUAUGUGAUAUUCUUGGGCAUUUUUGCAGGACAAUGCUCUAAUACACAUCUACUCCUCAAAUACUUUACAUUACAGUCUGUGACUGAACUUUGGAGGGCUUUCAGAGAGGAGCGGUGUACAUCAGCUGACAUGAGCUCAUGUGGUUAAAAAGAAGCAUGGCAAAGUGACAUCAAACACGUCUGAUUCCAGCCUGACAUAACUAAUAGACAAAAACCUCUCUGUUAUUCUAUUCCAUAGUGAACAACUUGAUCUGAAUGCAAGGAUUCUGUAUUUCCACUGGUGAAACUGAAGAACAGUUUCAUCCUUUGCCCUGUCUGUCUUUUUAAACCUGCUAAUUUGUAUUUAUGACUAUAAAUACAGAGAUCAUACCGCAGGUCAAGCAUUUUCUAGAAUUCUCUGGUGUAGAGACUCACUCAGUAAAACACAUCCUGUAGUUUUAGCUGGCAAAUAUAACAGAAACAAGAAUGAAAGUAAUAAGAUCUUAGGCACUUAGGGGGAAAAAAAAAGAAAAAAAAAAAAGAUUGUUAUCUACAUUUUUCAUUUGCUGUUAGUGAGAAAAGUAGCCAGCAAUAUGUAGGUCAGCAUCAGUAGCUGCUUUGGUAGUCUGAGAACAGUUUAAAGGAAGGAAGAGGUUUCUCUUUGUGGUUGAAUAAGUUACUCUAUAUCCAUGAAGUAGCUGUGUCUCACCCCCAAAGGGAGAAGCAUUAUCAGCAAAUGAAUGAACAGGCAUUCUGUGUUAUGCCAGUAGCACUGUCUUUGAAAACAAGGGAGACAAGAAAAACAGAUUUGGUGUGGCUUUUAUUUUCCUGUCGACCAUUGUAAUGGAGCUCCUCCAUUAACUCAUUCUUGUCAGGUUGAAUUGAAAGUGACAGUUAAUAACUUACACCAGCAUCUGCUUUCACUUGAUUGCAAUAGAGCUCUGCAGUGUCCUCACAGUGUUUGGAGAGACAUGGUUUGUGGGCAGAGGUACUAUCUUGUAUUAGAGUAUUAGGCACAGAUGGAUCAAAAUAAAAAGAUAUGCUCUUG
rnacentral:lncRNA from 1 species